GACGAACGCUGGCGGCGUGCUUAACACAUGCAAGUCGAACGGUGAAGCGCCUUCCUUUUUGGUGGGUGUGGAUGAGUGGCGAACGGGUGAGUAACACGUGAGUAACCUGCCCCCUUCUUCUGGAUAACCGCAUGAAAGUGUGGCUAAUACGGGAUAUUCUGGGUCUGUCGCAUGAUGGGUCUGGGAAAGAUAUUGUUUCGGUGGGGGAUGGGCUCGCGGCCUAUCAGCUUGUUGGUGGGGUGAUGGCCUACCAAGGCGGUGACGGGUAGCCGGCCUGAGAGGGUGGACGGUCACACUGGGACUGAGACACGGCACAGACUCAUAAGGGAGGCAGAAGUGGGGAAUAUUGGACAAUGGGCGCAAGCCUGAUGCAGCGACGCCGCGUGAGGGAUGGAGGCCUUCGGGUUGUGAACCUCUUUCGCAAGUGAAGCAGGCCUGCCUCGUUUGUGGGUGGGUUGACGGUAGCUGGAUAAGAAGCGCCGGCUAACUACGUG
rnacentral:rRNA from 1 species